GGCCCGCGGCGUCUCGUCCCCUCGCGGAGCCGCCGCCGCCGCCGCCUCCUCAUUCAUCCUCGUGCACCAUAGGCGGCACAGGCACCAAGAUGUCCAACCGAGUGGUCUGCCGGGAAGCCAGCCACGCCGGGAGCUGGUACACCGCCUCAGGACCUCAGCUGAACGCUCAGCUGGAAGGUUGGCUUUCACAAGUACAGUCUACGAAAAGACCUGCUAGAGCCAUUAUUGCACCCCAUGCGGGAUACACAUACUGUGGGUCCUGUGCUGCCCAUGCUUACAAACAAGUGGAUCCAUCUGUUACGUAAGUAUGCAGUUAAUUAGGGACAGUUUGGGACUGUUGUGAUGGUAACAUUCAUUCUGCUUGUUCCUUCGUAUUCAGUUUAAUUACUAGGAAAUAGCUUAGUACUUUCUCUUGAGUAUUUACCUUGUCUUUAGUUGUCAAAUGUUUCAUUCUGACACUACUACAAAGUUAAAUAUUUGAUUUUUCAGUUUACAUUACUAACUCAGUUGUGAACAUUUUAAACAAAAAUGAAGAUUCCUUUGCUCUUUUUAAUCAUUUUUUUUAUAGUUACUAAAAGCAAAAAUUUUGUAACAAUAAAGAGAAAUUAAAUUGAAAAGGUUUUAGAAAAUUUUUAUUAAACCUUGGUCUGAAAGUCUACCAUAAUCAAGGUUAUUUUAAAUAACACUGUGUUUUAAGCUUUUCUCUGUUUGGUUGAAUUUUUAUUGAUGAUGUCAUGCUAGAGGCAUGCCUUAGAAUUAGUUUGGCUUAGUGAUAUAAAUAAGUCUAGGGUCUGUAAUGGGGGAAGUGCAAAGUGAGACUUAAGCAAGCUGAUGGAAGGUCAGGCUGAGGAGGGGAAGUAAAGGGAGAAGAGUGGAGAGUGUUGGGGACACUGAGGAGGGGAACUAUGCAAGGGGGAAGACUGGAGAGUAUUCAGGACACUGCGGGGCAUGGAGGAGGGAAGCUAUGCACUUUGUAAGGAGAGAAGGUGGCAUGUACUGUGUGAUCAGAUCUUGUGUGUAGUUUCUAAUAGCUAAAUGGGGUCAUUUGAAGGUAUUUAAACAAGUUUAAUUGACACUAAAUUGUAUAUAGCAUUUUAGAAAUCAAUUAGGAGAUCAUUUUAAUGAUCAAUAUAUACUGAAUAAAAAUCAAAUAUAUAACUUUUGGCUUGAAUUUUAUGAAAGUUUUAAUACUGAGUCCUAAAGUGGAAAAGGUUAAGUGCAGUAAGAUUGUAACAGUAGCAUUAUGUUUUAACAUCCAGUAUUGAACAGUGAAUUAAAUAAAUAUAACAGCUUAAUUAAUGCAGUAUUUUGUGGAAACUGAAUAUUGCCAGGCGUGGUGAUGCACAGCUGUAAUCCCAGCAGUGGGAGGCUGAGUUAGGAAGGAGAUAACAAGCUUGGGGCCAGCCAAGAGCUACAUUGUGAGUCCAUGCUAUUAAAUAAAAUAAUGAACUACAUUAUGAGGCAUUGUAGUUAUUUGAGAAAAUAUCACAUCAUCAUCUAAAAGGAGAAUAUACAUUUGUGUAAAAUUGGAAAGAAAGUUUAUUAUAUGAAGUAAAACUUUUCAUAAGAAAAUAUUUUUAAGGGCUGGUGAGAUGGCUCAGCAGGUGAGAGCACUGACUGCUCUUCCAAAGGUCCUGAGUUCAAAUCCCAGCAACCACAUGGUGGCUCACAACCAUCCGUAAUGAGAUCUGACUCCCUCUUCUGGUGUUCUGAAGACAGGUACAGCGUACUUACAUAUAAUAAUAAUAAUAAUAAUAAUAAUAAUAAUAAUAAUAAAUAAAUCUUUAAAAAGGAAACUAUUUUUAAAAACAAUAGUCAUUUACAGAUGAUAUUGUUUUCCUCUAAAUUUUUUUCUCCUUAGAAAUUCCGAUUGUAAUUGAUAAAACAAACAUUCCAUAUAUGAAUUUAAAUGUACAAACAGUUAGAAAUCCAACACUAUUUUCUGUAUACUAUUAUACACACUCACAGUCUUGUAAAGACUAUAAUACAGGCGUACUGUACAUCAAGAGGGAACAUUGUGAGUCCAUGCUAUUAAAUAAAACAAUGAACUAUAUUAUGAGGCAUUGGAGUCCUUCCUUUUUACAUGAUUUAUUUAUUUAUUGAAAUAAUGAUCCAUCACCACGAUCUUUUCUAUGGAAAAAGGACUUUUCUAUUAUCUUACCUGGUGAUGACAUUUUCCCAAUGCUCCAAGAAGAAAUUGAGAAAAAUUCCGCAUUCCUUGGGGUAGCCUUUUUUAGACUUGGGCAGAAAUCUAGAAACUUACUGACAGUUCACACUGGCAGCUCUCUCUGCAGAUCUGCUACACGGAGAGUUUACAUACUAGGACAGCAGAAUUUGCCUCAAAUGUUAAAUGUUAUCUCUAUAAAUAUAAAUGCCAAGAAAACAAGUCAUGGAGUGGAGUUCACCUGGAAGAGAAAUUCUAAUAAUUGGAGAUUGGUGGAAAAGGAUAAAGAGAGAGAUACAUAUACACAUAUAAAGAGAGAUAUACACAUAUUCAGCUAUUUUAUGCUAAUCUUAAGUUUUAUAAUAGUAUAAUUAAUCCAUAUUUUAAAUUCAUUUUCAAGUUAAACACAUUGGAAAAGAAUUUUAGUUAUUUUUUUAGGAAUAUGGAAGAACCUAAAACCUUAAUAAAAAUGAUCUCUCAUAUUAGCACCGUUCUUGUUCAUCCUCUGCCCCCAAUAACUAAAACGCCAAAUAAAUUCUCAACUCUCUCUAUAGUGAGUGCAUAAAUAUGUCGAUCUUAAGGUUAAAAAAAAUCAUAUGAAAAGGAAUCUCAUUCUGUUCAACUGUCAGUCUACUGAGACUCUUCUUACAGCUUCACUAAGUGACUGUCAUUUGCAGUCUCCAAAUACAAAAAUACAACAAUUCUUAUUGAAAUCUAUACACUGGAAGUUUUAGUAC
rnacentral:lncRNA from 1 species